AGGUGUCUGCAGAAUCAUGUGCAUCCGUAAUAUUUCUUGCAGCGGCGUCACUGUUCAGUAUAAUGGAGCUCAGCUCACAUGUGAAUUUAGUCAUGAUGAAGUUCUCGUUGAAAAUCUUGUAGCAAGAUCGGAUGGCAAUACCUGGAUCUUUAAUGCCACUACGACUACAACAACUCCAGCUGCAACUACUACAACUACUUCUGCAACCAUAACAACUACUCCAUCGACUUCUUCAACAACUACAGUUACAACUACAACCACCACAACCCCCACUACUACUGACAUAACUACAACCAACACAGCUCCCACUACUACUGGUACAACUACA